GAUGAACGCUAGCGGCAGGCUUAAUACAUGCAAGUCGAGGGGCAGCACAGGUAGCAAUACUGGGUGGCGACCGGCAAACGGGUGCGGAACACGUACGCAACCCUCCUUUAAGUGGGGGAUAGCCCAGGGAAACUUGGAUUAAUACCCCUUAACAUUAUGAGAUGGCAUCAUUUUAUAAUUAAAGCUCCGGCGCUUAAAGAUGGGCGUGCGCCUGAUUAGGUAGUUGGCGGGGUAACAGCCCACCAAGCCUACGAUCAGUAACUGGUGUGAGAGAACGACCAGGCACACGGGCAGUGAGACACGGGCCCGACUCCUACGGGAGGCAGCAGUAAGGAAUAUUGGUCAAUGGACGCAAGUCUGAACCAGCCAUGCCGCGUGGAGGAUGACGGCCCUCUGGGUUGUAAACUCCUUUUAUCUGGGAAGAAAUGCAGAUUUUCUAAUCUGUUUGACGGUACCAGAGGAAUAAGCACCGGCUAACUCCGUGCCAGCCGCCGCCGUAA
rnacentral:rRNA from 1 species